GGCUACGGUGCAGCUUUACCAUGCAGUCGAACGGCAGCGCGAGAGAGCUUGCUCUCUUGGCGGCGAGUGGCGGACGGGUGAGUAAUAUAUCGGAACGUGCCCAGUAGCGGGGGAUAACUACUCGAAAGAGUGGCUAAUACCGCAUACGCCCUACGGGGGAAAGGGGGGGAUCGCAAGACCUCUCACUAUUGGAGCGGCCGAUAUCGGAUUAGCUAGUUGGUGGGGUAAAGGCUCACCAAGGCAACGAUCCGUAGCUGGUUUGAGAGGACGACCAGCCACACUGGGACUGAGACACGGCCCAGACUCCUACGGGAGGCAGCAGUGGGGAAUUUUGGACAAUGGGGGAAACCCUGAUCCAGCCAUCCCGCGUGUAUGAUGAAGGCCUUCGGGUUGUAAAGUACUUUUGGCAGAGAAGAAAAGGUACCUCCUAAUACGAGGUACUGCUGACGGUAUCUGCAGAAUAAGCACCGGCUAACUACGUGCCAGCAGCCGCGGUAAUACGUAGGGUGCAAGCGUUAAUCGGAAUUACUGGGCGUAAAGCGUGUGUAGGCGGUUCGGAAAGAAAGAUGUGAAAUCCCAGGGCUCAACCUUGGAACUGCAUUUUUAACUGCCGAGCUAGAGUAUGUCAGAGGGGGGUAGAAUUCCACGUGUAGCAGUGAAAUGCGUAGAUAUGUGGAGGAAUACCGAUGGCGAAGGCAGCCCCCUGGGAUAAUACUGACGCUCAGACACGAAAGCGUGGGGAGCAAACAGGAUUAGAUACCCUGGUAGUCCACGCCCUAAACGAUGUCAACUAGCUGUUGGGGCCGUUAGGCCUUAGUAGCGCAGCUAACGCGUGAAGUUGACCGCCUGGGGGAGUACGGUCGCAAGAUUAAAACUCAAAGGAAUUGACGGGGACCCGCACAAGCGGUGGAUGAUGUGGAUUAAUUCGAUGCAACGCGAAAAACCUUACCUACCCUUGACAUGUCUGGAAAGCCGAAGAGAUUUGGCCGUGCUCGCAAGAGAACCGGAACACAGGUGCUGCAUGGCUGUCGUCAGCUCGUGUCGUGAGAUGUUGGGUUAAGUCCCGCAACGAGCGCAACCCUUGUCAUUAGUUGCUACGCAAGAGCACUCUAAUGAGACUGCCGGUGACAAACCGGAGGAAGGUGGGGAUGACGUCAAGUCCUCAUGGCCCUUAUGGGUAGGGCUUCACACGUCAUACAAUGGUCGGGACAGAGGGUCGCCAACCCGCGAGGGGGAGCCAAUCUCAGAAACCCGAUCGUAGUCCGGAUCGCAGUCUGCAACUCGACUGCGUGAAGUCGGAAUCGCUAGUAAUCGCGGAUCAGAAUGUCGCGGUGAAUACGUUCCCGGGUCUUGUACACACCGCCCGUCACACCAUGGGAGUGGGUUUCACCAGAAGUAGGUAGCCUAACCGUAAGGAGGGCGCUUACCACGGUGGGAUUCAUGACUGGGGUGAAGUCGUAACAAGGAGGCCUG
rnacentral:rRNA from 1 species